rnacentral:rRNA from 1 species
ACGUAGGUAACCUGCCCUCAGGAUUGGGAUACUCCCGAGAAAUCGGGCUCAAUACCGGAUAUGAUUCCAGGGUGAAAUGCCCAGGGAUAAAAGCCAUGGGCAAUCAUGGUACCUGAGGAGGGACCUGCGGCCUAUCAGCUUGUUGGUGAGGUAACGGCUCACCAAGGCCAAGACGGGUAGCCGGACUGAGAGGUCGAUCGGUCACACUGGAACUGAGACACGGUCCAGACUCCUACGGGAGGCAGCAGUGGGGAAUUUUGCGCAAUGGGCGAAAGCCUGACGCAGCGACGCCGCGUGGGG